GACGAACGCUGGCGGCGUGCCUAAUACAUGCAAGUAGAACGCUGAAGGCUGUUCUUGCUCUUCUGGAUGAGUUUCGAAUGGGUGAGUAACUCGUAGUUUACCUUCCUGUUAGCGGUGUAUAACUAUUUGUAACUCUAGUUAAUACCGCAUAACAGCAUAUGUUUCAUUACAUUUGCUUUAAAUGUGCAUUUGCACCACUACCAGCUUGACCUGUGUUUUAUUAGCUAGUUGGUUGGGUAACGGCUCACCAAGGCGAGGAUACAUAGCCGAACGGGGAGGGUGGUAGGCCAAACUGGGAGUGAGACACGGACAAGACUACUAAGGGAGGCAGCAGAAGGGAAUCGUAGGCAAUGGAGGGAAGUCUGACAGAGCAACGCCACGUGAGAGAAGAAGGUUUUCGGAUCGUAAAGAUCUGUUGUAAGAGAAGAACGAGUGUGAGAGUGGAAAGUGCACACUGUGACGGUAUCUUACCAGAAAGGGACGGCUAACUACGUG
rnacentral:rRNA from 1 species